AUGACCUUGGUGCUUAUCUUGGUGCUUGGGGUUCUCCUGUCUCCCAGAGGAACAGGAGCCCAGUCAGUGACCCAGCCUGAAGUCCAUGUCACUGUCACCGAGCAAGCCUCUCUGGAGCUGAGGUGCAACUUCUCUGCUUCUUUUUCGCCGUACCUCUUUUGGUAUGUCCAGUACCCGAACCAAGGCCUCCAGCUUGUCCUCAAGUACGUACCAGGAAACCAGCUUGUUUCGGGCAUCAAAGGUUUCCAGGCAGAAUUCAAGAACUCAGAAAAGUCCUUUCACUUGAGGAAACUAUCGGCCCAGUUAAGCGAUUCAGCUGACUACUUCUGUGCUCUGAGUGACACAGUGCCUGGGACUGCAGGGGGAGCUGAACACAAACUACCUGGGCAUUACAGCAUAAAAGACCCGGGACCCAGCACGGUCUGUGAAGGCAAACAAUUCAGAAGGAAGUAG